GCGCACGGGUGAGUAACGCGUAUCCAACCUGCCUUACACUCUUGGACAGCCUUCUGAAAGGGAGAUUAAUACAAGAUGUUAUCAUGAGUAAGCAUUUUCGCAUGAUUAAAGGUUUACCGGUGUAAGAUGGGGAUGCGUUCCAUUAGAUAGUAGGCGGGGUAACGGCCCACCUAGCCAACGAUGGAUAGGGGUUCUGAGAGGAAGGUCCCCCACAUUGGAACUGAGACACGGUCCAAACUCC
rnacentral:rRNA from 1 species